UCCAGCUCCUGAUGUUAGCGGCAGACGGGUGAGUAACACGUGGGUAACCUGCCUGUAAGACUGGGAUAACUCCGGGAAACCGGGGCUAAUACCGGAUGCUUGUUUGAACCGCAGGUUCAAACAUAAAAGGUGGCUUCGGCUACCACUUACAGAUGGACCCGCGGCGCAUAGCUAGUUGGUGAGGUAACGGCUCACCAAGGCAACGAUGCGUAGCCGACCUGAGAGGGUGAUCGGCCACACUGGGACUGAGACACGGCCCAGACUCCUACGGGAGGCAGCAGUAGGGAAUCUUCCGCAAUGGACGAAAGUCUGACGGAGCAACGCCGCGUGAGUGAUGAAGGUUUUCGGAUCGUAAAGCUCUGUUGUUAGGGAAGAACAAGUACCGUUCGAAUAGGGCGGUACCUUGACGGUACCUAACCAGAAAGCCACGGCUAACUACGUGCCAGCAGCCGCGGUAAUACGUAGGUGGCAAGCGUUGUCCGGAAUUAUUGGGCGUAAAGGGCUCGCAGGCGGUUUCUUAAGUCUGAUGUGAAAGCCCCCGGCUCAACCGGGGAGGGUCAUUGGAAACUGGGGAACUUGAGUGCAGAAGAGGAGAGUGGAAUUCCACGUGUAGCGGUGAAAUGCGUAGAGAUGUGGAGGAACACCAGUGGCGAAGGCGACUCUCUGGUCUGUAACUGACGCUGAGGAGCGAAAGCGUGGGGAGCGAACAGGAUUAGAUACCCUGGUAGUCCACGCCGUAAACGAUGAGUGCUAAGUGUUAGGGGGUUUCCGCCCCUUAGUGCUGCAGCUAACGCAUUAAGCACUCCGCCUGGGGAGUACGGUCGCAAGACUGAAACUCAAAGGAAUUGACGGGGGCCCGCACAAGCGGUGGAGCAUGUGGUUUAAUUCGA
rnacentral:rRNA from 1 species